rnacentral:rRNA from 1 species
GACGAACGCUGGCGGCGUGCCUAAUACAUGCAAGUAGAACGCUGAAGGAGGAGCUUGCUCUUCUGGAUGAGUUGCGAACGGGUGAGUAACGCGUAGGUAACCUGCUGGUAGCGGGGGAUAACUAUUGGAAACGAUAGCUAAUACCGCAUAAAAUUGAUUAUUGCAUGAUAGUCAAUUAAAAGGUGCAAUUGCAUCACUACCAGAUGGACCUGCGUUGUAUUAGCUAGUUGGUGAGGUAACGGCUCACCAAGGCAACGAUACAUAGCCGACCUGAGAGGGUGAUCGGCCACACUGGGACUGAGACACGGCCCAGACUCCUACGGGAGGCAGCAGUAGGGAAUCUUCGGCAAUGGACGGAAGUCUGACCGAGCAACGCCGCGUGAGUGAAGAAGGUUUUCGGAUCGUAAAGCUCUGAUGUAAGAGAAGAACGAGUGUGAGAGUGGAAAGUUCACACUGUGACGGUAUCUUACCAGAAAGGGACGGCUAACUACGUG